AAAUAGAAGUGAGAAUGAGAGUGGAGAUGAGAUUAAGAAGAAAGAUAAGAUGGGAGGAUGGGAGGGAGGAGUAACAAAACUGAAAACAAAAACUAAAAACUGAAAUCAAUUUCAAAUUGUUUUCACUUUUGUUACUCCUCUCUUCCAUCCUCCCCUCUCAUCAUCUCUUUCAAUCUCAUACUCACGCUCAUUUU
rnacentral:snoRNA from 1 species